CGGACUCAACGCCGGGAAACUCACCAGUUAAGACAGCUGAAUGAUAGUCGGGCUGAAGACUCUACUUGACUAGCUGAGAGGAGGUGCAUGGCCGUCGUCAGUUCGUACUGUGAAGCAUCCUGUUAAGUCAGGCAACGAGCGAGACCCACGCCAACAGUUGCCAGCUCGUCCUCCGGGAUGGAGGGGACACUGUUGGGACCGCCUCUGCUAAAGAGGAGGAAGGAAUGGGCAACGGUAGGUCAGCAUGCCCCGAAUUAAUUGGGCUACACGCGGGCUACAAUGGGUGGGACAAUGGGUAUCGACACCGAAAGGUGAAGGCAAUCUCCUAAACCCAUCCGUAGUUCGGAUUGUGGGCUGCAACUCGCCCACAUGAAGCUGGAAUCUGUAGUAAUCGUGUCUCAAAAUGGCACGGUGAAUAUGUCCCUGCUCCUU
rnacentral:rRNA from 1 species